UGUCUGAUGUAAACGAAACUAGAAGUGAUCAAAUUCUUAUGAAGAGGACUUUUGUAUGCUUCCUUCCAGAAAUGAAAGGGAGUAUUCUUCCUUAUUAUUCUGGGGACAUUUCAUCAUGUUAGCUACAAGUGGCAAUUAAUAUUUAAAUUUUUGAGAAGGACGCACACAGAAGAAGAUGCACCAGUGUUCCUCGCUAUAUACCAAGCACGAAGAGCUCAGUUCUAUGAUCAAUAAACCAAUGGCUUGUUUGAAAUAUAAACAUGCAGGCCAAAAAGUGUUGACUUUGGUGUGAGCUACAUAGGAAGAAUUAAAUAGAAAAAGUUCAGCUCUAUCUUAUAUAAGUCUGCACUGCCUGCAAUACUCCCUAUAACCUAGCAAGGUUACGGUUCCUGUUCCCACAUUUCUUCUCAUGCCCCACUGCAGGGGAGGAAAGGUACCCUGGACUCUGCAGCCCGGCAAGCCAUCAGCCAGGUGCUGUGUUUGACAACUCUUAGCCUCUGGAAGAUGCUCUUUUUAAGGCAACCUGUUCUUAACUUUAAUUAGAGAUGGGCCUUCUGUAUGCAGUACAAUCAGCACGUGCAGCUUCCCCAAAAUGCUGUUGGCCAAAUUCAUCCUUAGUGCAAGGCCACCAAUUAUUGGAGACUCACUUUGGAUUAAUGUGACACUAUAUCUAAAACCGAUAAUAGUAAUAAUAGAUGUUAGGGUCCCAUAGUGAAGUCAUACUGUUUUCUUGGACUAAGAAAUCAUGUGUAGAUGGUAAAAGUUAAAACAGAGUAAAUUACAUGACUAAAUAGACAAGGAACUGUCUUUGCCCCAGAGGACUGACAGCAAGAUUGAUUUUACCAAAAGCAAACAUGAAGUCACUUUUAUUUUCCUUCUGUUCAUUACACAUUGACUAUAGUAGGGACAGGAAUUUUACUCUGUCUCCUUCCACGCAGUAGGUGCAAAGAAGGAACAAGGCCAAGAUGCUCCAUGGAUUGUUGCUCCAGCAAAUCCAACAGAUCUCAGAACUCAUCUGUAUGUGUUUUAACCCAUGACAAAUUAGUACCAUGUUAUGUUGCAUGGGUACACAUGCAGAGUACCCAUUUCUUCCUCAAGCAUGGGCUACUGAGUAAAGACCAUCUGCUAUUAAAUAAUGCCAUAUCACAAUAAAAUUUGAGCAUAUUUGAACUGUUCUCUCAAGACAGAAAAAGGGUAACAGUUCCCCAGGUGCCAGUGGCCUGACCCAAAUCCCCCUAAGGAGAUGUCAUAAGAUCUGAUUGUCUUCACAUCAGCUGGAUAGAAGAGCUCCAUCCUGUUCAGUGUCUGAGGCAAGAAAGAUUGAAUUAAGGCAGCUUUUUGGGAGCUAAUGGAAAACAAAGUCUUGAGAGAAGAGAACGGAGAGCUGGCCUACUAAAGAACAGCAGAAACCUGGGCAGCUGUAAUACUGAGUCUCAGGAAGAAGAUGAACAUUGGAAGAAGUUGGAAGAAAGAAUCUGGAGUGUUGUCACUUGGCAUUCUGUAUUUAGCAUUUUCCGUUUACUGUGCUAAUGAAGUGCAUGUAACAAGAACCUCUAUAGAUUAAAGUGGCUGUGAGGGAGCUAUACGAUUGUUCUUCUGUACAAAAGUGUGUCUUCAGAGCUGUGCAGGAAAGCAUAAAAGGUUGGGCAAUGAUCAGUCUCUCAGAUAAAGUGCUAAACGGAUGGGAUGGAAGGAAAGGAACGUGUAAUGAAAUCUGUCCUUCAGAUGCGCUCAGCCCCAGGGCUGCCUGGGCUAUGUGUGCGCAGUGUGCAAGUUAACCAAACGUAUGGAGGAACCGACAAGCCCUGCAUGCAUCGCAUUCUGUGUCACUGCCACUGCCAUCACUGGAGGAAUGCAGGAGGCAGCAGCCUUCAAGACAGGAAAGGACUGGACAGCAGGUAGAAAGAAAAGUAGCAGGAAGGAGGCAACUAUGUGAAGGCUUUAGGCAAACAGAAUAUGCUUUGUAAUUAGGGUGUAAUAAAGGAUGUGACACACUUAGUAUCUCUGGCGGUAGGAAAUACUGCCACCUAAUAAGAUAUUACUGUAGAGCUUGUACUAAUUGAUGUUAUAAGGGAUCAAGAGAGUGACUCCGUUUCUUGCAUCUAGGUGACUUUUGACAGCAUUCAUUAACGCUGAGCUACUACUGCAGUCAUGUUUCAGAAUGAAAAUUAUAAUUAGCCCAAGGAACAGUAUGAGUGAAAACAAAAUAAUUUAUAGAGCCAUAUACACAUGGGCAUAUGUACACUCCAACACAUGCUGUGCAUACAAAUAGUUUUGUACGAUGGUUUUUAAUGUAUCCCACUUUGUUUCAGCUCUUUUCAGUCGUGUGGGAAUGCGUUUUCUUCCUACUCAGCUAAUUACACAAUCCACGUACUCACCCUCAAACUAUACAUUGUAUGAUAAUAAAAUACAGAUCUGCUAUGGUUUUUGGAAAUAUUUUACGUACAUUUGCAGUGUUCUCAGACAAGUAAACCAGAGAACAGGUAUAAUUUUGCAUAAAAACUUUGUGCAACUGGAAUCACAAUAAUAAAGGCAGUUUGUUGGCUAUAAAUCAUUUAAAUACUGUGUUUGUUUAUGUAUCACAAACAAAGACAGUCAGAAAUGAUAAAUCAAAUGCAGAAGAAGAAAAGCCUCUGUGAUAACAAUUAUAAUAGGAACAGAAGGUCAAUUCCGAGCGAUUUCUGCCCUGGUAAAAUACUAAAGCCUUCAGAAAUCAGUUCAUAUCUGAUGCUGGAGGCAGGUGUCUUGCAAAGAUUGUGAGAUGAGUAUGUCUGCCAACAAGUGUAGAAACAAAUGGUACAAAUGUUACUUUAUCAAAUGGCUCAUUUACAGAAAGUUUAAAACAUCAGCAAGGCAACUAACCCCUUUGAAAACAAAACCUUUGAAAGUAAGAAAACUUUUUGCUUAUAGAAGGGAAAAGUUGGUAAAAUAAGGAAUACGUACUGCCUAUUACAUAUAAAAUAUGUAACAGGUAAUGAGUUUAUAGUAGUUUGAGUUAUAUUAGCUUUUGAAA